rnacentral:rRNA from 1 species
GACGAACGCUGGCGGCGUGCCUAAUACAUGCAAGUCGAGCGGACGAUUCGAAAGCUUGCUUUUGAAUCGUUAGCGGCGGACGGGUGAGUAACACGUGGGCAACCUGCCCUGUAGACGGGGAUAACACCGAGAAAUCGGUGCUAAUACCGGAUAACACGAAAUGUCGCAUGACGUUUCGUUGAAAGGCGGCGCAAGCUGCCGCUACAGGAUGGGCCCGCGGCGCAUUAGCUAGUUGGUGAGGUAACGGCUCUCCAAGGCGACGAUGCGUAGCCGACCUGAGAGGGUGAUCGGCCACACUGGGACUGAGACACGGCCCAGACUCCUACGGGAGGCAGCAGUAGGGAAUCUUCCGCAAUGGACGAAAGUCUGACGGAGCAACGCCGCGUGAGCGAAGAAGGCCUUCGGGUCGUAAAGCUCUGUUGUUAGGGAAGAACAAGUAACGUAGUAACUGACGUUACUAUGACGGUACCUAACGAGAAAGCCACGGCUAACUACGUG